CUGGCCGGAUGGUUCGCUCCGCCGCGCGCUUAGGAGCCGGCGGGUCCGGCCGAGCGCGCGCCCGGGAGCAGCGCGGCGCGUCGGCGAGGCUGGCCCGCGUCCGCCGAUGCCCGGGAGGUCGCGCGGAGUCCCGAGGAACACUUUCCGGAGAGCAUCGCGGGGUUUCCCACGGGCAGCGCUGGCGCGCUCUUCCAGAGAACAACUGGGGAAACUCCGCCGGGCCGGCCAGCACAGACAAGUGUGGUACACCCCAAAUUUCCCUGCUCCACCGCUGACCUAGAUUCCAAGGGUCCAGAGGUGUCCGGAUUAAGUAGCAAAGCGGGAUUUUUAAAGGGCAGCGUCGGCCAGGCUUAGGAGACUGAAAUCCCUCUUUGUGGCUGGCGUAUAAAAGACGGUGGAUCGCAAAGCUGACCCGACGGGAUUCAUUCCGUCUCCCUGUGCAAGAAUCGUGGUGCGAUUUAAAUAAACUGUCCUGUUACAGGGGCGCAUGGAGUGUUUAGAGAAUCAAAAACGGAUACACUGAUUAAGCACGUGAUGUGGGGUUAGAAGGGAGAGCGUUGGCUCCAGGUGGCCUUCCCUAGCCUUGGUCCACAGAUGGAAAGGUAAAAGGCAGAAAGGUCUGCAGAGGCCCAUGACGAGAUCCAGAUGCCGGCGGGCCCUCUGAAAAGUGGCUUCGCUUCCUGUGUAAUCGGAACAAGUUUGGCAGUGCGUGUGGAAAAACAAGUCUUGCAGAUGCUGCCCUCAGAGCGUUAUGCUGCUGGCCUGCUUUGGAGUAGGAAGUCCACGCCUCUGAGUAAGCGCCGGUGGACGGAGAGAGAUAACGACAUCAUAUAACAGAGCGCUGCUGCCCACAAUAUGAUGAAGAAAAAGAUAUGCACACAAAAGAUGACAAAUCAAAAAAGAAUCUCCUAAGCAGGAACUAAAGCCUCAAGUGAUCCCUGACACAAGAUGAAAUGCCUCCCCUACCUUCCUGGUGACUUCUUCUCCCCAACCCCUGCACCUCCUCUCUCCAAACAUUAAUUAGUUCUUGAUGACCACCCUCAUACCUUUCAGGACCUCUUCUACAGCACCACCCUGGCCCACUCCCCUAAAGUUACUUGGGGGGGAGGGGGGGAUCAACUUCUGCUCAGUCCUAAUUAGCUAUCACAUAUGGGUCCUUUCAUGCUCAAAGGUUCAUUUUUAUGUCCCCCCUUUCAGGGAGCGUGGGGCUGGUGACUGGCUCUCUAGCUUUUCAGGUCCUACAUUCCUAAAGGACUGUUUACUUGAAUGUGAGCUUGUAGGGCCACACAUUCUAGCCCAACCUGUCCACCCUGCCAGGCUAAUGAUUUAUUUCUCCCCUCCCUACUUCUCCUUCUCUCUACUUCGCUGUAGACGGAACGAGCACAUUCACACCAAUCGGGCGCCGACCUGAGCCACAUCCCCAGGCUUUAGAAUUGUAUGAUCCUCAUUCAAAUCGAUGGCACAGAGGAACAGAGAUGGGCGUGACCCCAGGACACGAAAUCAUGAACUAUUCCACAUUUCUGCAAACAUGAGCAAAAUGCAAUUUACAUACUGUAUCCAUAUAUAUGCAUUAGUGAAAUAAGUUAUUUUGCAUACUAGCCAACAACUUAAAAAUAGAGGUUGAGGAUCAAGAAAAUAAAUAAGCUGAGAAAUUAUAAUCCAUGAUAAAUACCAAGAGAAAACCAGAGGAAGGGAGGUGAUCUAAUUCCCACAGUUAUGUAAUUAUAUCAUACAUAAUGGUCUAACUUCAACAAAAAAUUACAAGGUAUAUGGCCGGAAAAUACUUGUUGGUUAUAUUUUAAUUGAUGUAGUAUGUUGUAAUUUCACACCUGUUAGAAAAUAUGAUCAGUAGGAUUUCAGCUUAUAUGAUUAUCAUGAUUGGAACAAAAAAAAACCCUCAAAACUUUUAAGAUUUUAUUUUUAUUUCUCUUUCUUGUGUGUGUGAGAGAGACUGUGUAUGUUUGUGUGUGUGUGAAAGAGAAAGAGAGAAAGACAGUGAGACUGUGUGUGUGUGUGCAUGUAUGUGUGAGAGACAGGAGUGCCGUGCCCUCAGAGGUCAGAAAAGACAUCAGAUGGCCUGGAACUGGAGUUAGCUGUGAGCACUCUGAUGUGUCCUCUGUAAGGGCAGUUCUUGACUGCUGAGCCCCAAACCUUGCGAUUUUAGAGAAUUAUUCCUAGUUUCUAAAAAUAAAGCAUAUUAUCUA